UAAUGUAUGGGGAUCUGCCCGAUAGAGGGGGAUAACUACUGGAAACGGUGGCUAAUACCGCAUAAUGUCUACGGACCAAAGCAGGGGCUCUUCGGACCUUGCACUAUCGGAUGAACCCAUAUGGGAUUAGCUAGUAGGUGGGGUAAAGGCUCACCUAGGCGACGAUCUCUAGCUGGUCUGAGAGGAUGAUCUGCCACACUGGGACUGAGACACGGCCCAG
rnacentral:rRNA from 1 species